AGGGAAGUGAAUUUGGAGAUUGAUUUGUUUGUAGACAAUAAGCAGCCAUAUGGUGACUGUAAAGGUCUUGACUGGAAUAAUCGUGGCCCAAGACCCACCGCUCAAGGGGCCAGCUUUGUGAGGCUGAGUUAGUUAUGAGUCUGGGAAACGCCAACAGUCUAAAACAAUGAGCAAUGAGAAAAAAACUUUCUUGGCAUACUGUGCUGAGGAUGUUCACCCCAGGAAUGUGAGCUCCCACCUGCUCCUCAGACCAAAGCCUCCCCCAAGCAGCCCUUUCCCUGCCUGCAGCUGUGAACUGAGGGUGAACCUGCUGGAUGGACAACCAGUGCCACCUUCCAAAGAAUGACAUGUGGAAAACCACUGGGCAUAAAGCUCACGGGAGGAAGGGGGGUGGGAGCACCUCCUGGGGUUUUUGGAGCACCCUCAAUGACUGUGUGACAGACAAGCUUAUCUUCGGACAAGGAACCCAAGUGACCGUGGAACCAAGAAUCCAGCCUCCUACCAAACCAUCUGUUUUCAUCAUGAAAAAUGGAACAAAAGUUGCUUGUUUGGUGAAGGAUUUUUAUCCCAAAAAUGUACAGAUAAGUCUUGAAUCAUCUAAGAAGAUAGCAGAAUUUGACCCUGCUAUAGUCAUCUCUCCCAGUGGGAAGUACAGUGCUGUCAAGCUCGGUCAGUAUGAAGAUUCCAGCUCAGUGACAUGCUCAGUUCAGCACAACAACGAAACCGUGCACUCCACUGACUUUGAACUGAAGACAAGUUCUUUGGAUAAUCUAAAACCAACAAGGACUGACAACAUGACCCAAAUUUCAGAGAACUGCCACAAACCAAGAGUUCACACAGAGAAGGUAAACAUGACGUCACUCACAGUGUUGGGGCUACGACUGUUGCUUGCCAAGAGUGUUGCCGUCAAUUUUCUCCUGACAGCCAAAUUAUUUUUCUUUUAAGGCUGACUGGCAUGAGAAGACUAUACACCCUGAAAAAAAAAAAAAAAAAAAAAAAAAACAGCAGCUUAUGAAGAUGCUACAUCCCAGACUUCAGACUUCUCCGUGAUUCAAAGUGACUUGUUAAAUUUAAACCAGUUUCUUUUGAAAGCAACAAACCCAGCUCAACCUCCAGUCUUUUGUUUAUUUAAUUUUGUU